GCCGUUAAUGGGCAAUGUUAGGGAAAUAAGAUUCUGGCUAUGAAACAAAAGAUUGUUUUAGGUUGAAGAAGUAAAUAAUAGUAAGAAUAAGGACUUUUGCAAAAGCCAAGGUAAGAACAUUUUCCCUCUGUAAUAAAUCAACUAUUGAGCUCAAAUUUCUAAUGUUAUUUUGAAUUGUAUUUAUUAUUAUUGCCUUUUGCCUUUGCCCUAGCACAAACUACAAGAGCUCAAAGGAUGCUAAUUUAUUCCUAAAUGGGUAUGCUUAUACUUUCAAUGUGCCUUAGAAACAGCACGCUUUAUUUAUAUGUUCUUAUGUAUUAUUGUCAUCUUAAAAGUAAAUUUAACUUCUUGCACAUUGAAGAGAUAGGUUUACUUUCUAAAAUUUUCAUUGUAAAUUUUAAUUCUUUAAAUAAGGCAUUUCCGGUCCUUGUGGCAGAUUUUAUAUUCCUGGCAAAAGUAUUUCAUCACUUAAACUGCAUUACACAUUGAUUAUCUAUUAUCUGCUCAUAUUAAGAAGGCUCUACCAUCAGUUAAUGUUUACUAAACAAUCAAUAAAAUCUAAGUGAAACCAGAAUAAACUCAAACAAAUAAGUGGGCUGAAAUUCAGAGAAAAUUGAGACCAUGUCCCCUUAGAAGGGCAGCCUUUGUGAGAACUCAUUUCUACCUAAAAGAUCUAAUUUAUCUUUUUUAAUGCCAUCAAAGUUAAUAAUGGAUGACAUGUCUUAUAGCCUCAGUGAUGCAGCAACUUGUCGAUAACACAGAGAAUUUAGAAACCAAUUCAUCAAUUCAUGAUUUUUUAAUUGGACCAUGGGUGGUUAAUUUUUAAGUCAUUAGACUCUCCAAUAAUAAAACCUUAGAAAGAGAGAGUUAAUUAAUACAGAAGUGGGUAGCUAUCUCCUAUCUCCUCAAUGAAUAAGCGUUCCUGUAUUCUGCCUCAAUAACAGGUGGCACUUUUCCCUUGCAGCAUUUUUGGAGUGGGGUGAGGAUAAGGUAUGUAGAAUGGGAGAAAGUGAAGUAGAAAAAAAGAGGGGCCUAUAUAUAAUUAUAGGUCUAUGUGCAACUAUAUGCAUAUAAUUUCAUAUAUAUAUUUGUGAGGUGUUUAUAUUUAUAUAUUUAUAUUUAUUUUAUGUAUAUUUAUGUUGAAAUAUAUUUUUAUGUAUUUAUUUACAUAUGCUUAUGCUUCUAUGUAUUUUGUUAUGUGUAUAUUUACGUCACAAAUGCCUCUCUCCCAGACACCCAUAAUGAGUCUACUCUAUUCUGGGGAAAUAGGAAGGAAUGCAGUUUUCCCUUAUUUCCUUAUUCAGAGGCGGGGGCAAGGUGGUUGAAGGAUUUCCUCACAUCUCAGUUUUGCACUUACUGGUAAGGCUGCACUGCAACUGACAUAUUUGCAUAUUGAUAUUCCAUUACUUGCUAAAUGUCCAUGCUGGAAGCAACCUUAGUGAUUAUCUGGUCCACCUCACCCCCUUCACUGUUGGAGAACCAGAGGCUCAGGGACAGUAAGAGACCUGUCCAAGGUCACAAGUGGGUCAGAGAUGGUCCCAUCCUCCCAGCUCCCACACCCAGCAAUCAUCACCCCGCGCUUCCCUGGUCUCCCCUUGCCCAAGAACACAUCUUCUGACACUCACAAUGGAGAAAUUAAUGAGUCUGCAACUUAAAGAUUCGUUUUAAACAAAUUGGUUCAUUACUAUUUAAUUGAGGAGGCUUCAGAGCAAUAAAAGCCUUGCUUACCAAAACUAGAUAAGCAGCUCAUGAAACAUUGAGCUCAAGAAAUUCAAAAACUGUCACAAGUCAAUAAGUGCUGCCUCUCUGUUUGAUAAAUGCCACCCAGUAGCAUCAGAAGUAUCAGAAACUAAUGGUGUCCCGGCACUCUGUAGGCAUACAUUAAUGGGAUCAGGAACAUAAAAUAUAAACAAUAAUGUACAUAUUGAUUGUUCCGGACACUUGAAGCCCAACAAACAUUUGAAAGGUCAUUGUACUUGCAUCACAUUACAGAUAAGUCAUUUGCUUAAAGCUGGAAACUUGGCUCUCCAUGUAAAUUUAUCUUGUGACCUAUAAGCUUAAUCAUGCCAUACCUCUGUUCACUUCCUUAGGUUGUCUCGCAUGAAAAAUAUACCAGAAGUGCUUAACCCCAUAAAGCACAUUCAAAUAAAUGACAAUAUACACAUUGCCAGGAUACUGUGUGGGAGAACUCUAUUCUAUAGGCUGAAUAAAUGCCAUGAAACAGGAUUUUACUAAAGACCAUAUUCAAAGGUCUCUGUAAGUCAAUUACUACGUGAGCUUACAAAUGAAUAUGUGUGCUGUCCAGAUGUUUCAAAAAUAUACAAGUUUAGGAAGUACAAUAUCAUAAUUAUUUCCACCUAAAAACUAAAUUUGGUUUGACUAGUGCACACUGGAGUAUAGGCACUUCUUCCUACGAUGAAAGAUUUAUUUCUUUUCAGAGCUUCUCCAAGAAAAUCAAAAAAUGUGAAGGUUGUCUGGCUGCCCAUGUAGAAAAGACAUCCCUUUACUGGGGCUUUUGCACCUGAAGGCACCUCUCCCCCAGAAUCAGGCUGCCGGCUAGCAGCAGUAUCUCUGGAGCUCCCACCUCUGGACAAAAUGGAGAGAUGCUUCAAAAUCCCACAGCCCCAGUUCCUUCCCCAAAAUGAUAGGUCCCUUUUUGGAGUCAGUAUCCCAGUGCUAACUCUAAAAAGGGCAUGAGGAGCUUGGAGGCAAAGCCUGCAGUUUAUGCCCCCUAGACAAGAGCAAGCAAGCGCUGGAAGUAUUUCACAUCUCCUUUGACAAGGGCACCGAUUACCCUAAGUUUGGACAGCUCCUCCAUUCGCUGCCAGGUAACCAAGCUUUUAGCCAUGACUCCCACCCAAAAGGAUGGGGAAGGAGAACUGAAACAGGACAAUGUCCUCUGGAGGAAGCCUUGCAAACAAACAAACAAAAAACUUGCUAGAAUCUCCUCUGGCAGAAGACAUUCCUGUGUCUGUAGAAGAGUGAAAAGGCACAGGCGUUUAGGCAGACCCCUUUAAUCUUAUGUAUUCCAACUGUUUCCUAUGAGGAAGGCAACCAAAUUUUCUUAUUCUGAAUUUUGCCUUGUAUGUAUCUUUUACAUUGACUUCUCAAAGAUUCUACAACAGCUAAAACCAGCCAUUUUGAAAAUCAGACAUGAAUCAUACGAGUUUCAAAAAUACUUUUUAAAUUAAUAUUACAUUCACUAGCAAUUGAUAACCAUCGUAAAAUCAUAGAUUUAUAAUUUACAUUAAAAUAUCAUCAUUCUAAGGGUACCUGGGUGGUUCAGUACGUUAAGCAUCCCACUUUGGUUCAGAUCAUGAUCUUGUGGUUUAUGAGUUCGAGCCCCGUGUGGGGCUCUGUGCUGAUAGCUCAGAGCCUGGAGCCUCCUUUGGAUUCUGUGUUUCCCUCUCUCUCUCUCAGCGCCCCCCCCCACACUCUGUCUCCUUCAAAAAUAAACAAACAUUAAAGAAAAAAAUUUUUUAAUCUCAUUCUAAUAACACAGAAUUUUAGAACCACAAAGGAAAACAACAGUGGUUUAUUUGGUAGCCAAAUGACCUGAUUUUAAUGUUAAAGACAAAAUUUUAUAGUUUCCUAAAGAAAUAAUUAUAGAAGAGAUUAUUUUAAAGUGUAUGUAAAACCUGACAUAGACCGAAGGGAUUAAUAAAUAUCGUUUAACCAAAAUUCAGUGAUUAACCUUGGACGAAAGAGAAGAAAAUUUCAGACAGAGUUUUUGCUGCCUGCUUAAAGCAGAUUUACUCAGAAUAUAGGUCUAAAUGUAAACUGUAUUAGAUUAAAUAGAGUAGAUAAGUUUGUAAUACUGUUUUCCUGUUAUUUAGAUUUUUAAAGCCUCCAAAAACCAGUGUGGCUCAAACACCUUUUAUUGCAAUCAAAAUUUAAUUAAGACAAUCAUGUUAAUAUUUUGAGUACACUCAAAAUUCAAACUUUCGGGACCCUGAUAGUGAUUACGUCUUUUAAUGAAUAAGUUGUAUUCUGAAAUACAGGUUGUAUCUUCAUUUGUCCUAAAGACAUUAGGAUGAGGGAUGCUGAUGUAAAACAAAGGCAGCAUUUUUUUUAAUUGUAAACACUAUCUUUUAGCAUGCCAAAAUGUAUCUUUUACUGAGUUAACUUUUAAUUGCAUAAAAUCUGCUGGCUAAGAAUCCUCUUAAAAGUUGUUCUCUGUAUUUCAAAAACCAUUUUCUGUGCUCUAAAUUUUUUAUUUUACUGUUUGUUUGUUUAUGUUGAAAGCGAGAACAGAGGAGGGACAGAGAGAGAGGGGGAAAGAGAGAGAGAGAGAGAUUGAGAAUCCCAAACAGGCUCUGCACUGUCAGCACAGAGCCAGAUUGAACCCACAAACCCUGAGAUCAUGACCUGAACAGAAAUCAGGAGUCCAAAGCUUAGCUACCCAGGCACACCUGUGCUCUAAAUUAUAAACGAGACUUUGAUGAUCAAUGGACAAGAAGAAAAACUUUUAAUUUGAGACAAAAGAAUCCUACUUGUAUACUGCAUAAGAUAAAUACAAAAAAUGUUCAAAGUUCUGUCUUUAUUAUAUCAAAAACUGUUCACACAUCCUAAGAUGCAGACAUAUAAUGACGUUUAAGGACAGAGCCAUUUGCACUAUCAAACUGAAGUAAUUGUGCAGUUUUCCCAAGGAGGCCUUGAGGGCAAAAAUUAAAAAUAAAAAUAUACUUAUUUUAUCCUCCCUCUGAAUGUUUGUUCCCUCAAAAGUUACAAUAAUCUUUCAAGGCUCAAGUCUGAUUUGCAGGUGGACUACUUUUUCCUGUGCUGCGACCUCAGAAUCUUUCUUUCUUUCUGGAAAAUGUACCAUACAGCUCUGUACGCAGUAACCCCACAAGGCGGAUGGCUGUGUACCUGCAGGUCCUGCUCAUGACGGUUCAGGUUUAGAAAAAAUGGAACUAGGCUAUCAAGAUCACCUGUGUUUCAAAGCAACGUUCUCUGCCACAGUACCUAAACUCAAAAGAUUUCCUUUUGACAUGAGGCGUGUGGUGAUGUGAAAAGAGAAAUGAGAGUCCCUACUGGGACUGUGAACAUCCUCACAUUUGUGAGGCCAACUGCCACACUCCCGGCUUUUCUUAUUCCCUGACAAGGCUGUCCCAGCCCUCUCCUGGGAUGCUUUUGACAGCGAUUGCAAACAACAGAAGCCAGCAGGAAUGUGUAAGAACAGGUGCUGGAGCCUCCCAGGGCAGCCUGCUUACAGAGAAAGGGCGUCCUCAGAGUAGCCCUGGGACAUCCCACUUCGGAGAUGCCCUCUUGCCCUCAGCCAUUGCAAGAUCUUGCUUUUCUUUUUCAUGCGGCAGAUGUGUGGAAAGAUUUGUAACAAUGCAUUAAGGCUCCUAAGUUGCUGCUGGCAAAUUUUCUUGGCCAGCUGUUAAGGGGACUUUGGUGGGAUCACCAACAAUAUAAAACAAGGAUGGGAAAAUUCAUUCUUGGGUUUGCGUUCAGAUAAGGGAAAUAAUAAUGAAAGGCUAGGACCUUUCCAUAUUACUCCAUUAUUCCAGGUUACUGCUUUCCACUUCCUACCGCAUGUCAGGAAAAGGGACAUUCCUAUGUUCAGGGGCUCUCCAGCAUUCAAGAGGAAACAGAUCGGAGAAUGCUUCCUCCCAAAACAAGUCAGGAAUAUUCACACAGCACACACUCCAGCAUGUUAGACCCCACUUCAGGAACAUCUGAAUAUUAACUCUCAUUCUUUUCCACUUACUAAAAUUGCUCUGUGGGCAGGGUGCUCCGCACAGUGGGCACAGUCACCUGUGUGAGUGAACAACCACUCAGUGGCUGUUUCAGCCAGCUUCUCAAAGUGUGGACCCUGGACCAGCAGCAGCAGCAGCGGGAGUCACCGCCUGAGAGCUUGCUUGAAAUGUAGAAUCUCAGCCUUACCCCAGACCUAUUUAAACUGCUUUUAACCAUUUAACCAGAUCCCCCAAAUGAUUCAUUGUAGAUUUGGGUCUGAGAAGCACCUUACUACGGCUUCUUACAGCAACUCCGUGCUCAGGAUUCAGAGAGCAAGAUGCUGCCCUUACACCAAUGCAAUGUUUACACUGUUCCAAGAGCACUCUGGGGCAUUAUGUAAGCCUCAGAGUUCCCAGGAAACAGGGGCAAGAAUCAGUGACUCUAUAUUACAGUUGAGAAGACCAAAGUCAAAUAGAAGGUGACUGGUGGUCGCAGAACUCAGACUCAAAUUUCCCAAAUCUUAGAUCUUUGCCCUUUCUGCUGCUUCAGAUAGUCCCUAAGGAAGGGCUGGUUCUUUCAUACUUGGGCCACAAGAGUUUUCCUUCCCACUGGCAUCACUGGUAGAAUGGAAAGAAGCCUUCAAGUACUGGUUCUACCUGUAUUCACCCUCAUGACUUUGGACAAAUCACUUCUUUAAAAAAUAGGUCAGAGGCCAAAUAAAACAAAGAGCAUUUAUAAAAUAAGGUUAUGAAACUAAAAAUAGAAGGGUAGGGCCAUGAUUUAAUAAUAAGUAGCAAAUACUACAAAAAUAUUCGAGCCCUAAUUUAAUUUGUAAUCUAAUUUCUGAAAAUGUAUCCUAAGAAAAUAUUCCCAAAGAAGAAAACGUUACAUGUACUAAAAUGAUCAUGAGACUAUUACUUAGAACAGAAAAAAAACUGGAAGCAACCAAAAUACUCUCUGUUCAGGAUAUGGCUAAUGAAAUUACAGAACAUUUGCUCAUUUAACAUGAUAUUUGCCAAGACGUGGCAGCAGCAUGAAAAAUUCUGUUAUAAUGUCAAGAGGAAAAGAAAGUUAUAAAACUGUGGUACAUUACAAUUCCAACUAUGUUGAGAUGGGUACCCUUCUAGAAAACAAUGGAAAACAUUUGUGAAACCUACCAGGUUUUAUCAGGAUAAAGGUGCCAGCAGUAUCUGUCCUAGAAAUCAAGAGACAUGAGCUCUGAACUUGGUUGUGUCAUUUCUCAGGCCUCAGCUGCCCCAUCUGUGCAAUGGGAACACAUGGUUGGUACUGAUAGCCCAACAAGCAGGUCAGCUCCUCCUAGCCUAGGCUCCACUCUUACCCAAUCAGCCUUUUCCCACACUGCUGCCAAAGUGGCCUUCUCAAAACCCAAUCUAGUCAGGUUGCCACACUUCUUCCCUGCUGCAAACCAUUUGUUUCCAGUUGUCCCUAGGAUAAAGCCACAUCAUCCCUAGUACAGUCCAUAACCACCUUGUGGGGUCUGGCCCUCCCUGUCGCUCUCCACUCUACAUUCCAAGCUGCCCUCAUACCAGCUUUCUCUCAGAUCCUCACACUGACUUGUGUGCCCUCUGCUUGGGUAUCUCUCUCCUUUCUGCCCUUCCCCGGGAUGCUUCAGCUCCCUCACCACUUCCUCAGGGAGCCUUGAAGAUCCAUCUGGCAGGAAAAGCUCACCCUGUGGCACCCACUCGGAGCUUCAUGUCUCUUUUCCUUCAGCUCCUUAGUGCAGUGUAAUUUUAUACUAUUUGCUUGAGUCUCUAAUUAAUGUUUCUGUGUGUCCUGUCAUUUCCACCCUACCUACUAUAAUGUAGCCUCUACACAGAGGCUUUUUUUAGUAUCCCCAAUUCUUAGCACAUGGCAGGUCUUGGAAAAAUCUUUGUUGAAUGACUGAAUAUUAUUCUGACUACCCACCCCCAAGACUGACACAGAACUGUGUGACUAGCACAUGCUCCAUGAAUCCAGUAGACUUGAACUAAGUACAGAAAUAAUAAACAUGACAUUUAGAUUCGUCUCUCCCACGGAAAGGAAAAAAAAAAAGGCUUUUAUGCCAGAUCAACUAAGAAAGUUAAAAAAAAAAAAUCAAUGUAAAAAAGCAUUUCGUAAACUCUAAAUUUUAGUGUAGACUUGCCUCUACACUAUAGGUACAGUAUAGAACAGUACUUUUUAGAAACAGGUACAGUAUAAACAUAUGCAUAAAAUAUAAAAUACAAGGUAUAAUUGUUACUGAGACUGUACAGCAAAUUAUUAAGUUAAAUUCUCUGGAAGGAUUUAAACAGUCAAAUCACAUCGAAACAGCUUUUUUUUUUUUUUACCAAGUUUUGGAUAAACCAUAGAGUAGGCAUGUCUGUGUUUCACUUUCCUCAUCUCUCUUAAUGUAGAAUUUCACCAAAUGAUCCUUAACAUCCCUUGAACUCUGAGAUUCUGAUACUAUGACAAUUUAACAGCCUAACAGUGAGAAUCAAGAAAACCUACACAUGUGUGAUGCCAAGCAAGGUAACUCUAUGGACACUUUAACUGGCCCUCCCUAGGUAAAACCUUGAGAAAGCCCAAGUUUGCCUCUCCUCUUGUCCAUCUGGAGGGCCUCCCCUCCUGCUUUCCUCUACUUCUUUUUGCUCUCAGAAUAAUGGUCAGCCAAGGUUAAUUUAAAUCCACAUGCUUUUCCCUCGAGGCAUUGGUCUUCGAAUUUUCUUUCUCAGUGUGGUCAAAGUUGUUUCCUGCCCCCAGGAGAAAGGAUUUCAGGCUGAACACACUGGUAGAAGAGGUAUUUACUGAACAGGGACCCAGGCUGCCUGCAAAGUUGACUUCCUUUCUCAGCCUCUGAAUGAGAUCAGCACCUCCUAGGAGGAAGGGCCUGUGAGGGAAGCUCAGAGGAGGGGCAAAGUCCCAACUCAACUAUUGCCUAUUCAGACUUUGUUCAAAAGCAUUUGUGCCUAUGUUUACCAAAGCAUGCAUAUACAGCUACAGGGUCUUGCAAAAAGGAUGCACAAAAAUUCAAUCUAGUAAUAAUUAGAAACAAUUUGUUAUUAGUUAACUAGUUUUGACAUUGCAAAGCAAAUCAUUUCUUGGUCACUUUAAAUAACAAGAUCACCUCUGGGUGUGUAAUGUAUUAAAAACAGUUUUUCAUAAAGCAUUUCAAGCAUUUAUAUAUUAAGGGCUCUUAAAUCUCUGCAAAACAUACAUAUGGCACAUUGAGCAAAAUAUAAAAUGUAAAAAGUACAUAUUCGUGUUAAUAUAAGCAAUUAAUUAAAAUACAUAUUUUACAAUGUCUUUUGACAUUGUAAUUACCCAUUAAACUAUGAAUAAUUACCAUAAUAUAGUAUAUCUAGUAUAUAUAGUAUUAUUAUCAUGACACAUACUACCUUAAAUUAUUUUUAGCAUUUCAGAAAAUUGGAAGGAAAAUCAGAUAAAACAAAGAAUAAGUCAGAAUAAAGCAUAAAAUUUAACUGAACAUUUCAAUUUGGAAUAAUUUGCUUUAAAAGAAGACCUUACUUUUUUCAACUUUUAAACUCAAAACUUCUAUUUUAUGAUUCUGUGCUCAUGGAACCUUUGAAAUCCCUGAUGAACCGUGUAUGCUAGAAAUGGUAUACUAAAUGUAAAGAUUUUAAAUAGACAUCUAAAAUUAUUAAAUAUGCACAAUUUUAAUGUAAUGCAAAAUAAAUUUGUACUUCAAAAAUUAUGUAGCAUUUUGGUAGCACUUAAUCAAAAGCAAUGCCAUUUCUAACUCCUUUAUAUUAUCAAUUGAUACACCAUUUUCUAUACAAGUACAGAUGAGCUACAGCACACAUGAUUUAAUUGAUUUCAUUUUGAUUAGGCUUGUUAAUUUUUUAGAAUUGAUUAUGCUACAGAGAGGGGGAGAAAGAUGUGUUCUAAGAUUUUAUUUAUGAAGCAAGAGGUUAGCCCAUUAAAAUCUCUAUUUUUUGGAAAGAAGCAAAUUUGUUGUUUCAUACAGGUUUAAUUAAACUAAAUUAAGAAAAAAAAACCCACAAAUCUUUAGAAUGGAGAACUUUCCAAGUCAUCCAUGAUUUUAGCCACAGAGUUGGCAAAAACCAUAACUACGUGCAAUUUCCUUAUUUCAUAGUGUUAGUUGUUUGGAGGGCAGUUACACAGUUCCUCAAACCACACUUUUUUCUGCAGAUAACCAUUAGAAAAGGACAUAGCAUACCUAAUUCAGUUCAAAUUUGGCAGAUCACAGGUUGAAAUUCUUACACCAACAUUAGUAUUACGAUGCACACAAGUUUAACUGUAGGUAGCAGACUUUCAUUCAGUGCUCUUUUCAGCAUCUUCUAGUAAAGGCCUGGAUAAGAAGGAGGGGGAAUAAAGCUUUGACAGAUGGUACUCAGCGCUUGACUCCUGCUGAGCUCAGCAGGACCUGUGGUUUCCAAGGUUAGGGCUGUCAAAAUGGCUCUGUCUAUCAAGUGAAUAACAAAGUGUAGACCGCCUGUCCGUUUCCUAUACAAAACUUAGAUUUCAUAUGCCAUUAUUGUGAGUCUUUGUGCCGAUUUAAUAACUUCCAAGGGGAAGAACUGAGGGUUCCAGUGCAGCGUCACUAUUUGAGGAACUACCUGGAAAAGGAAUUCUCAAGGGCGAAAAGAGGUAGGCCGAGAUGUGAUCUCUUUCACUUCAGUUUCUCUCUAAGGCUUCAUGACUUAAAAAGGACUGGAAAGCCACCAAAGUUUCCCUCUUGGCUAAAAGCUAAAUGUGAACCUAUCAAACUGUACUUAAUGAUGUCUGGCUGUCAAAAGGGUAAAAUGUUUCUAUUACAAAUCCUUGUAGUGGUGGGUACUUAUGCAACUAGCAGUACUGAGAAUGAAAAAGAAAAUGUUUCUAUUGUGAAAUACAAGCAUGUGUUUAGAUGUGUUUGUCAGAGUCCUUUUCUCACCUUUUGCACCUCUUAAUAUUAAAACCACCCCCUUUUUUCCCCACCUAUGUCUAGAGCCUUCAGAUGGUCGGAGAAAGUAGUGGAUGCUGAAAGACUGAAUAAUGUCAUCAAACUGGCCUUUUGUCUUGCACCAUUACAGCUAUUUUUCUUGGUAAGUCUUAUGUUUUUCUUCAUGUGUAUUUUGUGAUUUCCAGAUUGUUACUGACCUCUUUGGAUUCCAAUAAACGGCCAUUUGGUAGAUUCAUAAAGCCAGGCUUUUUAUUAAGAUGAUACAGAAAUUGGGACUGUGCUAGUGUGUCUGAAUAAGCUAAUAAUUGUAUGUUAGUGUUUAAUUUAAACAUUUAAAGUAAAACUUUCCAUUUUUUAUUCCAAAAGUACAAAGUAAAAUUAAAAUGUGGCAUUCUGAAAGUGACGUAGUAGGACACACUUUAGUGAUGUCCUGUUACUAAGCAUUUUCAUUGCUAUUUUUGACAAACUGAUAAAAGCAUAUCUUGUCCCUUUUUUGAGCUGGUUUGAGCAGACCCAUCCACUCAUGUGGUAACUGUUUCUUACUAGCAUUUCUGAAAGAAGAUAUUCUUGCUACAAUAUAGUUGAUGAAUUUUCCUCCACAAAUAUUUAGUUUAUAUAAGUCCCAUGAUCAUAAUAGAGAUAUUAUUUUGAAGGAUGAUUAUUAUUUCUAGUAUAUUCAGUUACUUUGAACAUUUUUUUAAAAAGGUUUAAGUUUUAUUUUAAAUUCCAACCCAGAAGUCUCUUGACACACUAUACUCAGUAAAUGUUACUGAACUGAAAUUAAAAGGAUAUUAAAUAUUGAUUAAAAGGAAUUUACGAAUUGAAAUAAAAGGGAUACAACUUUUACAUCAGAUUCUUACAAGAAAGUAUCAAAUAUUAAUUUAGCAUAAACUUGUUUCUGGUUGUGCUUUUUAUCCUGGAACUAUAUAAUGCUUUUAAUCAUCUCUGUAGAUGAUAAUUAAACAAAAGUUUUGAAAAGAAGUCCUAAACCCAGAUGAAAUUUUCUUCUCUUUUCCUCUACCUUUGCUUUUUUCAAUAAGGUGAUUUCUAAGCUUCUUUCUAACAGCCUAUGCUCCCCCCCACUCCCACUCCUGCCAAGACAUUUUUGUUAAUGGUAAACUUAUUAAAUCAAAUUUGCUUUUCAUGUGUCUGCAUUUUUUGAGGAGUCUCUGUGGGGUUUCUUCAUAUGUCUGUAGGGAAAGUAUGCUUCUGUAAUUUCAUCUGAGUCCAUGAACUAUAAGGCCCUGGAAAUUAAGCCCAUUCUUGGCAAGAACUCUGGGAGCAAGAAGUCAAAAUAUCCAGGGUUAACUAAUGUAACUAAUAUGUUCUAAUUGCACUAGACCCUUCAGUUGUUUUUGUUUUUAAAAAUUUUAAAUCGUGAUAAAGUAAACCUAACAUAAUCUUUACCUUCUGAACCAUUUUUAAAUAUACAGUUCAGUAGUAUUAAGUACAUUCCCAUUGUCAAAUGCUUUUCAUCUUGCAGAACUGGAACUCUGUACUCCUUAACAACUCCACAAUUCACUUUCCUCCCCAACCCCAGCCAAUCAGCAUUAUACUUUCUAGCUCUUUGAAUUUGACUACUCUAGUUACUGCAUAUAAGUGGAAUCAUACAGUUAUUUGCCUUUUUGUGACUGGCUUAUUUCACUUAAAAUAAUGUCCUCAAGAUUCAUCCAUGUUGUAGCAUGUGUCAAAAUUUCUUUCCUUUUUAUGGCUGAAUAGUAUUCCAGUAUAUGUAUAAAUUACAUUGUAUUUAUCCAUUUAUCCACACACGGACAGUGGGGUUGCUUCCACUUUUACUGUUGUAAAUAAUGCUGUUACAAACACGGGGGUACAGUCUUCAGUUGUUUUAGAAAGUGAAUACUGCAUGCUACAGAGUAAAUGAAGACCAAAGCACACACUGGAUGAAGAAUGGCUGAAAAAUACAGUAAUAAAAAUAGCCAAUGUUUACCAAGUGCUUACAAUAUGCCAGGCACAGUGCCAUGCCUAUCACUGGUAUUAAUUCUAAGAGCAAUGCACUAUUAUUAGCCUCAUUUCGUAGAAGUGAAAACUGAAGCACAGAGAGGUUGGUUAACUAGUCUAAAGUCACUCAGCCAGUAAAUCACUGGUAUGCAAAUCUGGGAAAUGGUAGGUGGAAGAGUAUGUGCACUUGGAGGAAGAAAGAAAUCACAGAAGUCCUAUUUAUGGAGCCCCAGCCAAGUAGUAAAGAACUCCCUGGCCGCUGCAAAGGGUGUGGUUUGGCCAAAAGAGCACUCAGAUAUGAACAAGUAACAAAUAUUUGUGUUACCAUCUCGCUGCAGGACCCUUAGCAAGACAGCUACCCAUUCUGGGCUCCAUGGGUAGGGAAGGAGAGGUUGAAUUGGGUGUAGUAUGGUCUGUGGUUUCCGACAAUCUCUCAUUCCAAAUGAAAUUUACCAUCUAGUACUUUAUUACUUGGAACAUCAUUUGAGAGAUGAGGAUGUAACUUAAAAUGUUUAAAUGUAUGCUUUAGUCUCCCAAUACUGAUAAUCAAUAGUUUGUUGAUUUUCAAUCCACUACGCUCAAAUCAUUCCUUAAAUCCCUUGAACGAAACUAAAACAAUGACCUGAUACCAACAGGAAUGUGUGAAGGAAAAUGAGGUUUCUUGUUCAGAGGGUCCCUAGGUAUGCCUGCCCCAACAAAAACAAAGUGGAGAAUUGUGAAUAGUGUUCACUUCAUAUACAUUCAUAUGAUUAGGGUCAUAUAAUCCCCAAAACCCUGCCACUGGAGGGACUGAGAGGGGUAAAUCUGAAUGAAUCGACAUUUUCCUCUUUACAGUCAAAAUUUAUCACUUCAUUGUAUCUCUAGAAACAAAUACUAUACAUAAGUGCCCUCAUCGUCAUAAUUUAUUAGCUCUUUUGGUUCUAUGGUUAUGAGUUUAGGUUAUAGAUCUUUCAGUAUUCAUUUUCAGAGCAUAACCCUAACUCUUGCCUAUAGUGAUUAAACUGGACCCAAGCAAACAAAUAUUUUUUUUUAAAUACUUGUUUUUAAAAAAGCCUUUUAAACAUUGUAAGGUCCUGGAGAAGAGCAUUUGAAUGCCACUGAUCUAAUUUAUAAGUAGGUACAUGUUUGCAUGUACCCUGAAGCACAUUUCCAAGAAAAGGCUGCAAAUUAGGCUCAAGAGAAGACUUGAGUUGCAGUACUGUUUGGAUUCUUUGCAAAUCAAGUGACAAAUGCUCAUUUGACCAAAUCCAGGUAUUUCAGAGUUCAUACUAGUGAUCAAUGAGAGCUGCAUUUUUUUUCAGGGCUAUCUGCAGAUAAAGUUCAAUAUUAACUUAAAAGAAUGUUUCAUUUACUUUCAGCCAGCAUUUACAAGGUGUAUGACUUUAUUUUAAACCAAAUAAUUACAAUGGAAACACCCUCCAUAUUUCUAUCAUGAAUUUGCUAUUGGAUAGACAGUAACUAUAUUCAAGCUUCAGCCAAGCUACAGAAUUCUAUGAUACAUAGUUCAUCUUCCAUCUGUAGUUUCAGAAGAUGCAAAUUCUAGAAACCAGACAGAAGAGGGAGCUGUCCAUCUGGAAAUUAACUGAUCCUUUCAAAAAUAUGUCAAAUAUAGAAGGAAAUCCUAACAUGAUUAAGUCUUAGCUUAUUUGGUCUUGUAUUUUAUGGCAACACAACAAACUUUGUGGUGCAUUAAAAUCAAGAAAGAAAAGUACCAGUAAAGCCAAACACAUUGAGCUAAAUUAAUGAAGAGGCAAAAUACAGAAACCAUUAGAAAUCCAGUUUAAAAUACAUUCAGAUUGUAUGGUUGGAUUUCCCCUUUUACAGCAAAAUAUAGAACCAGAAUACAUCCCAAAAAGGCCAAAAUAAUAUUCUGCUGCCAUACACAUCACUAAUAUUACCUUCCUAUAGAUCCUGAUCAUAAAACAGAACUCUGAUUUUAAAAUUGGUAACAUCUGGAAAUAAUGGCAAAAUAGAAAAACUGUUGGGCUGCAUCUGUCUUGAAAAUGCUAUGUAAUAAGAUUUACUUAAUAUAUUUGAAAGAGAAAAAAAUGUUUUGUUCCCCAAUUUGUUGCAACAUCUGAAAGUUCAUGAGGUUAUGACCCCUCUUUAAGAAAGCAUCUCCCACCACCUGCAAAUACCCCAGGAAAAGCAGUUGGAAACAAUAAAACACGUGCUAGUUAACGGUUACCAGGGAAACGGUUCUGGUUCACCAAUCUGAGCGCCUGCGCUUCCCAGUGGCUUUGUCCGAGGGAGACAUGCGCCAGCUGUUAGUGAAUAACCAUUGUUAUAGAUCAUCAGGAAAUCACAGUCAGCAGGCAACCCAGCCCCACUGGAAGUUUAUUUCUCAUAUUUGUUCAUCACCAGGGCAAUCCUCCACCUUUAAAACAUCCCUUUAGGCCGGGUUAACUAAAUAAUACCCUGCACCGGCAGGAAUGUUUAAAGGGGGCAAAUUGCAAAAAGGUCUUUUUGCCCAACAAAUAGAUUUCUAACUUCGAUUCCAAUCGCAUCACCUUCCUACCCUCUUCACUUUCCAAUGGCAAUUACAGGCCAAAUAUCUGAAGUCAGUGCCCCUUCAGGUGCUGUCCCCUCCUUGCCUUAAUAGGAAACUCAAAUUCACACAUGGAACCCCCUCCUCCUAGAGCUUUCAGAGAUCAUUGGCUUAUUCCAGACCGGAAAGAGCCAUAUGAAUGGUAAAUGAAGGACUCUGCAAGGCAGUUUGAGACUGCCAUUAGAUAAGGGUCUGAGAGCACAAAAUAAUGGGUGCCUGCCUCACCAACACACACACUUCAACCAGAACAGUGUCCACUUUUACCAAUUUUAUAUUUUAUAUAUUUUUUAAUAAAUUUAUAAAUUCAUAGCUAUUCUCUGAAACAAGAUCAUAUUGCUUUUUUGAAGUUGGCUUUUGCCAAUGACCUCCAAACCCAAUCACUCAUUUGAAAAAUUUCCGGACUUCCAUAUUCCCAUUUGGCAUGCACAGAGCUCAGAAGUCACCACUGCAUCCCAACAAUAAAAAGGUGAAUAAACUGAAAAAUCAACAACUCUUCUUAGACUCAUUAAAGAACUGAAUUCACAGCACAAACCAUUGCACCCAAGAUUGAAGAGAUGGGUGAAUACAGAAAAUCACAACUUACCACAGCAGAAACCUCCACGGGAACCAGUCCCAGGGUAGGAAAACCUGAACUGCUAUUGAGGAAUUGCUGGAAGCUCAGCGUGGACAAGUCUGAGAGCUAAAAACUCCAGUAGGACUCAGUUAUAGAGGGGCCCCCAAAUUUUUGUGAGUUUUACCUCCAGUUGCUUGACCUGGUCCUUAUGUUUUAUACCAGAGAAAAACCUCCUUGUGCUUCCAAUUAGGGUAGGAGCUAAAGGAACCAUUUUGAAAUAUGCCAAAGCAUUCUAUUCUUCUUAAUAAGGCCUACCCACAGGUGAAACUAUUUUACCAAAGCCUACACUCUACUGGGGUUUUAUCAGACCUGGGAGAAGCUCAACUCCAGCUCCUUCUAGCCAUCCUGUUCCACCUAAGGUGAGGUUGGGGGUACUGAGAAGCACUGUUGAAGUUCACAGUCCAGGGGCACAGGCUCACUAAAAACCUGAGACCUAAUCAUAGGACUGUGGAAUGCUUCUCCUCCCCCGACAUGUUAUCAUCAUAUUAUAAAAGGCCAGUUAUCACAGUUCCUUUACACCCAGUACAUUAGGUCUAUCUUUCAACAAAACAUGACAAAGCAUACUAGAAGGGAAAAACAAUUUGACAACACUAAACAGACAUAAGAACCAGAGUCAGAAAUGGCAAGAAUGUUGGAAUUAUCAGAUCAGGAAAAUUUUUUUAAACUACAAUAAGGGAUUUACUGGAAAAAGGAGACAACAUAUAAGAAUACAUAGUUAUUAUAAGCAGAGAGAUGACAAUUUUAAUAACAAAUGCACAAGAAAUGCUAGAGUUCAAAAAACACUAACAGAAAUGAAGAAUGCCUUUCAUAGGUUAAUUGGUAGACUGGACACAAUAGAGGAAAGAAUCUGAGUUUAAGGAUAUGACAAUAGAAACUUUCUUUUUAAUUUUUUUUAAAUGUUCAUUUAUUUUGAGAGAGAGAGACAAAGUGUAAGUGGGGUAGGGGCAGAGAGAAGGAGACACAGAAUCUGAAGCAAGCUCUAGGCUCUGAGCUGUCAGCACAGAGCCUGAUACAGGGCUCAAAUUCAUAAACUAUAAGACCUUCACCUGAGCAGCAGUUGGACACUUAAACAACCGAGCCACCCAGGCACCCUUGGCAAUAGAAACUUUCAAAACUGAAAAGCACAAAGAAAAACAGCUGAAAAAAAAAAGUACAAACUUCCAGUUAUAGAAAUCACAGGAAUAAAAAGUAUAUCAUAGGGAAUAUUUUAUAAUAUUAUAAUAUUAUACAUAUUAUAUUUUUUAAUAUAAAAACACUGUAAAGUGACAGAUGGUAACUACACUUAUGGUGAGCAUUGCAUAAUGUAUAGAAAUGUCAAAUCACUAUGGUGUACAUCUGAAACUAAUAAAACAGUGUACAUCAAUUCUAACAACAAAUUUUUUUAAAAGAACGGAAUAUCCGGGAACUGUGGAGUAGUUACAAGAUGUUUAAUGUAUGCAUAAUAGAAGUACCAAAUGUAGAAGAAAGAAGGGAACAGAAGCAAUAUUUGAGUCAAUAAUGAUGGAGAAUUUUCCCAAAUUCAUGUCAGAUACCAAACCACGAAUCCGGGAAGCCCAGAUAAACACCAAGCAGGAUAAAUGUCAAAACAAAACAAAACAAAGGAAAACAAACAAAAAACCCCACACCUAGGCAUAUUGUAUUCAAAAUUCAGAAAAUCAAUGAUGAAAAAAAACUCAAAAAUCUCAGAAAAGAAAAAUCACCUUACCUAAAAAGAAACAGGUACAAUAAUUUCAUUAGUUUUAUCCUCAGAAAGCAUGCAAGCAAGAGAAGAGUGGAAUGAAAUUUGUUUCAAAUGUUGGAAAAAAAACCCCACCAACCUAGAAUUUUGUACCUUGUGAAAUUAUCUUGCAAAAAUUAAAAAGAGGUGGGUGUCUGGGUGGCUCAUUUGGUUAAGCAUCCGACUUUGGCUCAGGUCAUGAUCUCUCUCAUGGUUUGUGAGUUUGAGCCCUGUGAUGGGUUCUGUGCUGACAGCUCAGAGCCUGCAGCCUGCUUUGGAUUCUGUGUCUCCUUCUCUCUCUGCCCCUCCCCCACUCACACUCAGUCUCUCUCUCUCUCUCUCUCUCUCUCUCUCAAAAAUAAAUAAACAUUGGGGCACCUGGGUGGCUCAGUCGGUUGAGCGGCCGACUUUGGCUCAGGACACGAUCUCAUGGUCCGUGAGUUUGAGCCCUGCGUCGAGCUCUGGGCUGAUGGCUCAGAGCCUGGAGACUGUUUCCGAUUCUGUGUCUCCCUCUCUCUGACCCUCCCCCGUUCAUGCUCUGUCUCUCUCUGUCUCAAAAAAUAAAUAAACGUUAAAAAAAUUUUUUUUAAAAAAAAGGAAAAAAAUAAAUAAAUAAACAUUAAAUUUUUCUUUUUUUAAUUAAAAAGAGGGAGGGGCACCUGAGUGGCUCCGUGGGUUGAGCCUCCGACUUUGGCUCAGGUCAUGAUCUCAUGGUUCGUGAGUUAGGGCCCUGCAUGGGGCUCUGUGCUGACAGCUUAGAGCCUGGAGCCUGCUUUGGAUUCUGUCUCCCUCUCUCUCUGCCCCUCCCCCACAUGCACUCUGUCUUUCUCUGCCACUCAAAAAUAAAGAAAACUAAUAAAAAAAUUUUUUUUAAAUAAAAAAAAAAAAAGAGGGAUUCCUAGGUAGCUUAGUUGGUUAAGCAUCCAAUUCUUAUCUUGGUUCAGGUCAUGAUCUCAAAGUUCAUGAGAUUGAGCCCCGCAUAGGGUUCCAUGCAGAAGGAACAGAGCCUGCUUGGGAUUCUCUCUCCCUCUCUCUCUGCCCGUCCCUCACUAGUGCACUCUUCCCCUCCACCAGCACCCCCCUCAAAAUAAAUAAGUAUUUUUAAAAAAUUAAAAAGAAAUAAGACUUUAUCAGACAAACAGAAAUUCAGGAAAUUUGUUGCCAGUAGAUCUGCCUUACAAAAGAUGUUAAAAUUCUUCAGAGAGAAGGAAAUUGAUAUAAGCCAGAACCUUGAAUCUAAAUAAAGAAAAGAAGAGCAUUAGAAAAUGGGUAAGUGAAGGCAAAAUAAAAACUUUUGUUUUUCUUAUUCUUAAUUGAUCUAAUAAACAAUGGUUGUUCAAAAUAAUAGCAACAACAUAUUAAAUUAUAUACAUUUAUGUGUGUUAUAUCUAUGUAGAUAUAUAUGCUUAUGUAUAAGUAAAACGAAUUACAACAAUGAUACAAGGGAUAGUAUGUAGGAAUUAGAAAUAUUUUGUUAUUAUAAAGUACUUAACCUACCUGAGAAAUGGUAUAUUGUUAUUUGAAAGUGGGUUUGGAUUAGUUGUAUAUUGCAAAUUCUAGGGAAACCAUGAAGAAAAGUUUUUUAAAAGUAUAGUUGAUAUGCUAAGAAAGGAGUAAAAAUGGAAUCAUAUAAAAUGCUCUAUUAAAACUAUGAAAGGCAGAAAAGGUGCAGAAGACAAAAAUAGCAAAGAACAAAGGCAGCAAAUAAAAAGUAAUAGCAAAUAUGCUAGACAUUACUCCAACUAUGUCAAAUCACUUAAAAUGUCAAUGGUCUAAAUAUACCAAUUAAAAGACACUUCAAAGUGUAACAAAAAAUAAGAACCAACUAUAUAUUGUCUACAAGAAACCCAGUUUAAACAUAAAGACACAUGUAGAUUAAAAGUAAAGGGAUGGAGGUGCCUCUCAGCACCUGGGUGGCUCAGUUGUUUGAGCAUCAAAGUCUUGAUUUCAGCUCAGGUCAGGAUCUCAGGGUCAUGGGAUCAAGUCCAGCAUCAGGCUUUGUGCUGAGCAUGGAGCCUGCUUAAGAUUCUCUUUCUCUCUCUCUCUCUCUCUCUCUCUUUCUCCCUGUGCCCCUCUCCCCUGAUCAUGCUCUCUCUCUCUAAAAUAAAAAAGUAAAGGGAUGUAGAAAAAUAUACCAUGUUAACACUAAUAGAAAAAAAGUGGGAGUAGCUAUAUUAAUUUCAGACACAGCAGUCUUCUGAAUAGUAUCCAGAAUAAGGAGGGAUAUUGCAUAAAGAUAAUGGCAUUAAUUUUCCAAGAAGACACAACAAUCCUUUAAUGUGCAUGCACCUAACAAUAGAACAUCAAAAUAUAUGGUGCAAAAACUGAAAGAACUGCAAGGAGAAAUAGAUGAAUCCACUAUUUUAGUUGGAGAUGUUAACUCCCUUCUAUCAGAAACGGAUCUAGCAGCCAGAAAAUCAGUAAAGACAUAGUUGAACUCAACAGCACCAUCAAUCAACUGGAAAUAAUUGACAACUAUGGACUACUCCAUGCAACAAUGGCAAAUUACACAUUUUCUCAAGUACCCAUUGGAACAUUCACCAGUGUAGACCAUGUUGUGGGCCAUAAUACACAGCUCAACAAGUUUAAAAUAAUAGAAAUGUGCUUUCAGACCACAAUGGAAUUAAAGCAGAAAUCAAUAACAGAAAGAUAACUGGAAAAUCACAAAAUACAGUACAUGGAGAUUAAUCAAACACACUUUUUGCGACACAUGGGUCAAAGAAGAAAUCUCAAGAGAAAAUUUUAAAUAUUUUGAACUAAAUUAAAAUGAAAACACGACUUAUCAAAUUUUGUGGGAUGCAGUGAAAGCAGUGCCUAGAGGGAAAUUUAUAGCAUUGGAUACAUAUAUUAGAAAGGAAGGAAGCUCUAAAACCAAUCAUCUAAACUUCCACCAUAGGAAACUAGAAGAAGAAAAAUUAAUUCCAAAGUAAUCAGAAGAAAAAUAAUGAAAAUUAGAGCAGAAAUCAAUGAAGUUGAAAAUAGGAAAUCAAUAGAGAAAGAUCAGCAAAACCAAAAGCUGUUUCUUUGAAAAGAUCAAUAAAAUCAAUAGGUCUCUAGCUAGGCCAAUGAAAAAAAAGAAGAAACACAAAUUACUAAUACAGAAAUGAAAGAAGGGACAUCAAUACAAAUCCUGUGGACAUUAAAAGGAUAAAGAAAUAUUAUGAGCAACUUUAUGCUGACAAAUUUAAUAACCUAGAUAAAACAGACAAAUUCUUUACAAGGUACAAUCUUCCAAAACUCAGAAAAGAUGAAAAAGACAAUCUGAAUAGCCUCUGUUGAUUAAAGAAAUUGGAUCAAUAGUUAAUAAUCUUCCAAACAGAAAGCACCAGGCACAGACAGUUUCAAUGGUAAAUUUUACAAAACAUUUAAGGAAGAAAUUAUGCCAAUUUUUUACAAUCUCUUCCAGAAAAAACAGGUGAAUACUUUCUAAUUCAUUCCAUUAGGCCAGCAUUACCCUAAUACCAAAACCAGACAAAGACUUAAAAGAAAAUAAAAUGAUAGACUAAUAUCUCUCAUGAACAUAGAUACAAGAUCCUCUGGAAAUAUUAGCGAAUCAAAUAAACAAUGUAUAAAAAUAAUUAUAUACCAUGACCAUGUGGGAUUUAUCCAAGGAGUGCAAGACUGGUUCAACAUUCAAAAAAUCAAUUAAUGUCAUCUUUCACAUCAAGAAACUAAAGAAAAAAAAUCACAUGAUCAUUAAUUGGUGCAAGAAAGCAUUUGACAAGAUCUUACACCAAUUCAUGAUUUAAAAAACUCUCAGCAAGCUAGGAAUAGAGGCACUUCUUCAACUCUAUUUUAAAAAUCUACAAAGAACUAUAGAAAAUGUCAUACUUUGUUGAGAACAACUUGAAGCUUUCAUGCUAAUAUCAGAAACACAGCAAGGAUUGGGGCGCCUGGGUGGCUCAGUUGGUUAAGUGACCGAUUUUGGCUCAGGUCAUGAUCUCACACUCCAUGAGUUCGAGACCCACGUCAGGCUCUGUGACAGCUCAGAGCCUGGAGCCUGCUUCGGAUUCUGUGGCUCCCUCUCUCUCUGCCCCUCUCCUGCUCGUGCUCUGUCUUUCUCUGUCUCAAAAAUAAAUAAAAAACAUUAAAAAAAUUAAAAAAAAAAAGAAACACAGCAAGGAUAUCUCUACUUACCACUCUUUUCAACAUUGUAUUAUAAGUUCUAAAUAAUGCAAUAAGAAAAGGAAAUAAAAGUAUACAUAGUGGGAAAGAAGAAAUAAAGCUGUCUUUGUUUGCAUAUAACACGAUUAUCAAUAUAGAAAACCCCAAAGAAUUGAUUAAAUAACUUCUAGAGCUAAUAAGCAAUUAGAGCAAGGUUGAAGAUGUAAGGUUAAUAUGCAAAAGUCAAUUGCUUUCCUGUAUACCAGCAAUGAAUAAGUGGAAUUUGAAAGUAAAAACACAUUGCCAUUUAUAUAAUAACCCCCAAAUGUAAUAUUUAGAUAUAAACCAACAAAAGAUGGAAAAUAUCUGUGUGAGGAAAAUUACAAAGCUCUUAUAAAAGAUUUCAAAAAAGAACUAAAUAAAUGGUGAUAUAUUCCAUGGUAAUGGAUAGACUCAAUAUUGUCAAGAUGUUUGUUCUUUUCAACUUGCUCUAUAGAGAAAACCCAAUCCCAAUUAAAAUCCCAACAAGCUAUUUUUUUUUUAUAUGUAUGAAAUUUAUUGACAAAUUGGUUUCCAUACAACACCCAGUGCUCAUCCCAAAAGGUGCCCUCCUCAAUACCCAUCACCCACCCCCCCCUCCCUCCCACCCCCCAUCAACCCUCAGUUUGUUCUCAGUUUUUAACAGUCUCUUAUGCUUUGGCUCUCUCCCACUCUAACGUCCUUUUUUUUUUUUUUUUUUUUUUUUUUUUUUUAUUUUUUUUUUUUUUUUUUCCUUCCCCUCCCCCAUGGGUUCCUGUUAAGUUUCUCAGGAUCCACAUAAGAGUGAAACCAUAUGGUAUCUGUCUUUCUCUGUAUGGCUUAUUUCACUUAGCAUCACACUCUCCAGUUCCAUCCACGUUGCUACAAAAGGCCAUAUUUCAUUUUUUCUCAUUGCCACGUAGUAUUCCAUUGUGUAUAUAAACCACAAUUUCUUUAUCCAUUCAUCAGUUGAUGGACAUUUAGGCUCUUUCCAUAAUUUGGCUAUUGUUGAGAGUGCUGCUAUGAACAUUGGGGCACAACAAGCUAUUUUGUGGAUAUCAACAGAUUCUAAAGUUCAUAUGGAGAGGCAAAAGACCCAGAAUAGCCAAGUCAAUGAAGGAGAAGAACAAAGUGAGAGGACUGACACUACCCAACUUAAAAGACUUACUGUACAGCUACAGUAAUCAAAACAGUGUGGUAUUGGUCAAAGAAUAGAUACAUAGAAAAAUGAAAGAGAAUAGAGUCCAGGGACACCUGAGUGGCAUAGUCGAUUAACUAUCCAACUCUGGAUUUCAGCUCAGGUCAUGAUCUCACAGUUCAUGAGAUCAAGCCCCACAUGGUGCUCUGCACUGGGAGCACAGAGCCUGCUUGGGAUUCUCUCUCUCCCUCUCUCUCUCUGUCCCUCCCCCACUCUCUCUCUCAAAAUAUAAUAAACAUUUAAAAAAAAAGAAUAGAGAGUCCAGAAGUACACCCACAUAAAUACAGUCAACUGAUGUUUGACAAAGAAGCAAAGGCAAUACAGUGGAGCAAUAGAGCAAAGAUAGUCUUUUCCAAUAAUGGUGCUAGAACAACCAGAUAUCUACAAUCAAAAAAAAAAAAAAAGAGAGAGAGAGAGAGACAGACAGACCUUACAGCCUUCACAAAAAUUAACUCAACAUGGAUCACACACCUAAUGUAAAAUGCAAAACUAUAAAAGUUCUAUAAGGUAACACAGGAGAAAACCUAAGUGACCUUGGGUAUGGCAAUGACUUUUGAGGAUACAACAGCAAAGGCACAAUCCGUGAAAGAAAUAAUUGAUAAGUUGGGAUUUAUUAAAAUUAAGAAUUUAUGUUCUGCAAAAGAUAAUGUCAAGAGAAUGGGCAGACAUGCCACAGACUGGGAGAAAAUAGUUGCAAAAGACCCAUCUGAUAAAGGACCAAUAUCCAAAAUACACAAGGAAUUCUUAAAACUCAACAGUAAGAAAACAACUAAAAAAUGGGUAAAAGACCUAAACAGACACUUCACCAAAAAUGAUAUACGAUGGCAAAUAAACAUAUGAAAAGAUGUUUAACAUCAUAUGUCAUGAGGGAAUUACAAAUUAAAAGAAUAAUGAGAGACUUCUACACACCUAUUAGAAGGGCCAGGAUCCAAGGCAUUGACAACCCUAAAUGCUGACAAAGAUGCAUAGAAUCAGGAACUCUCAUUCAUUGCUGGUAGGAAUGCAAAAUGGAACAUCCACUUUGAAAGACAGUUUGGCAGUUUCUUGGAAAACAUAAUAUACUGCUACCAUAUAAUCCAGCAAUCAUGCCCCUUAGUGUUUACCAAAACAAAUAGAAAACUUCUGUUCACAUAGAAUCCUGCACAGGGAUGUUUAUUGCAACUUUAUUCAUAAUUUCAAAAACUGAAGCAACCACAAAGUCCUUCAGUAGGUGAAUGAAUAAAUAAACUGUGGUACAUCCAAACAGUAGGAUAUUAUUCAGUGACAAGAAGCAAUAAGCUAUCAAGCCAUGAAAAGACAUAGAGAAAAAGACAUGGAGGAAAUGCAUAUUACUAAAUGAAAGAAGCAAAUCUGAAAAGGCUACAUACUGUAUGAUUCUAACCCUCUGACCUGGAAAAACAAUACUAUGGAGACAGUAAAAAGAUGAGGGGUUGGAGGAAGAGAUGGAUGAAUAGGCAGAGCACAGAGAAUUUUUAAGGCACUGUAACUAUUUUGGAUGAUGCUACAAUGCUGGAUACAUGUCAUCAUAUCUUUGUUAAAACCCAUACAACACUAAGAAUGACCCUAAUUUAAACUAUGUAUUUUGAGUGAUAAUGAUGUGUCAAUGCAGGUUCACUGAUUGCAAUGAAUGUAUCACUAUGGUGCAUGAAGUCCAUAGUAGGGAAGGUGUGUAAGAAUAGGGAGCAUAUGGGAGCUCUCUGUACUUUUCACUCAUUUUUCUACAUGAAAGUUCUCCAAAAAAUAAAAUUCUUUUUUUUAAAUAGAGACUUCUCAAAUUCACAUCUGGGAAAUUCAGAUUCAGGAGGUAUUGGUUGGGGCAUAGAAAUCUGUCUAUUCCAUAAGUUCCAACAUGAUUCUGAUAUGCAAUCAAGGUUGAGAACUAACGGGCAGAUCUUGGCCUCCUGAUCUUUCAAAAUGUAACCAUAUUGUUUGAUUUUUUUUUUUCGGACUUUUAAUCUCUGGUAGGUGUGGUAUUCUAAAUUCAUCUGUAAUAUCUUACUGUCAGAUAAUGCUUAUCCAUCAAGUAUUUGCAUUUACAAAGGAGUUUUUCUCUGUGGAAGUGUUUAACAGGAGUGCUGUAUUAUAGGCUGGCUAUAUCUUAAGAGCCUAGUUAUGGGGUUAAAAUGAUGAUGCUCUUCCAAAGGUCUGUUAUCACAGAGCAAAGAAACAAACAGGAUAUCAACAAUCAGGGACAUGGCAACUAUGAUUCCAUCAUUCACAGCUUCAAUUUUCCUUCAAAAGAACAAGUGAUACUGUUAACCAGUCCCUGCAAAUACAUAUAAAACAAAAAGCAGGACUAGAAAAGAAAAAAAUGAAAAAUGGCGUAAGAAGCCUUAUCCUCCUUCCAUGAUCAAGUAUACUAGUCCCACCCUUUGGAGCUUAGAUGAACAGAAUGAGGAUCAUGGAGUUCCUAACACUAGCCCUUUCUUUCUACAUAACCCAGAAUGAUGUAGCUCUCUAAAAAGCAGUAAAAUGGAUGGAAAUGGUCUCCUUUGAAACCAGAUGUUUUUUAUCUUUCUAAACUCCAAUUACUUCAACACAUUAUUUAGCUGCACUCACAUCAGAUCAGAGCCACCUGUUGUAUCCUCUGCACACUUAUGAGAGAUUUUAGGUUAAGUUUGUAUUUAUGGUUUAUCUAGAAAAGUCAGAAUGCAAUUGAUAGGAUGCUUUUAAAGUCAUCUUGAGGUCAAAUGAUGUGUAUAUUGCAGGUUAACAGAUAAUCGAGACACUGUGCUGUGUAGUAUAAACAAAAUCAAACCUAAUUUCGUGAUUCAUUACAUAAAUUUGGAUAUAAUCCAGGACUAAAAACUAAUCAUCUGAAAUAAAACUACAUGCCAGAAAAACAUAAUAUAACAUUGUUAGACUAUCAGGGAAAAUUUUUAAGUUCCAUUAGACUAUCAGGAAAACUUUUUAAGAGAGAGCACGAGUAAGCAGGGGAGGAGCAGAGAAAGGGAGAGUCAGAAUCCCAAGCAGGCUCCACACUUUCAGUGCAGAGCCCCACGCAGGGCUCAGACUCACAAAUUGUGACAUCAUGGCCCGAGCCAAGAUCAAGAGUCAGACGCUCAAUCAACUGAGCCACUCAGGCGCCCCAGGAAUAUUCUUUAUUACCAAGAUAGAUUUUUGAUAUUUAAAUGUUUUGGUUUUGUCUGGUUUGAAGUUAAAUAUGUUCACUCUGAUAUUAAUAAAAUGUGACUUGAUGUAUAUUUCUAUUGCCUUUCUAAUGGUAAAUAAGCAUUUGAAAAAAAAGUAAAUUGAUGUCCAUUCAUUAAAUAAAUGUUUACUGAGUACCUGUUAUGUGCCAGGAUACAGAAGGGAACAAAAAUAUACAAAGUCCCUGUUGUAGCCAAAUGGUGAAAUAAAUUUACAUCUAACAUUGAUCAAAAAGUAUGUUCUGACAAAUGAACAACAUCAAAAAAUCCCAACAAUGUAAAUAAACUUUAUGAUAUCAUGAUAUUCACAGAUUAUUGAGCCUCUGAAGUAAACAUUGCUUAUUACACUUUAUUCCACCAUUUUAAAAAUUAGCAGCAGGUAAUGUUACUUAUUAAAACAGCUAUUCUAAGUAGAAGAGAGAUGGGGAAAAUAAUUGAGAAGCACACCCCCUCUUUCCACUUAUCUCUCAUGUGAUUAGCUAGGCAUGUGUGCAAAUUAAGAAAGACUGAGAAACCCAAUUGCACAGUCUAACCAUUAGAUAAAAUUGCUUAUCAGUGUGGCUAAAACACUGUUACAAAUGAGAUUGGUUGUGGUUUGGGAAGGUUCACUUUUCCAUUUUCCUUCAUUCUCCAUGGAGAUGUGUGCCAGAAUCAGAGAGUUAUCUAUUCUCACUUACUCCUAUCUGAACCCCAACCAUAACUCUGUUUUCCCAUUCAGUUUUAAUCUUGGGCAAAGUAGUUUUAAAAUCUAGCCUUCCUGGAAAGAUCACUGUAGAAAGAAGACAACUUUUUUCCAUCUUAAAUACAACUUCAAAAGUGACAGACUGGAAAAUCUCUGCAGGCAAAUGUGAUGUCACUAAAGAAAUCACACACUUACCCGUAGAGAUUCUACAGUCUGACAUCUUCAAGCAGCGAACUGUUCAUCAGCUAUGCUUUUCUGUAUGCAGUCCUUUGACUUGAAAUAAAUCUGGAGUGGCCAAAUAACCAAACUAUAGAUAACUUACUGAACUUCGGCUUCUUCCAAACUAAGGGGACAUACAUGCUUCAGGAUGACUGAAUCCCAUCAAAUUAAGUUGUAAGAUAAGAAGGUUAAAUGGUAUAAAGCUGCUAAUAGCAAAGUGUGAUCCCCAGACUAGCAGUAUCAGUGCCACCUGGGAACUUACUAGAAAUAUACAUUCCCGUGCCCAGCCCAGGCCUCCUGAAUCAGAAACUUUGAGAAUGAGCACUUGUCAUUUAUGCUUUAGCAAGUCUUCCAGGUGAUUCUGAUUCACACUCAAGUUUGAGAACCACAGGCUUAAAGAGAAAACAAAGGAUUAUUGCUGAAACACUGAACUCAGAAAUCGUCUGAUGUUAUGUAAUAUAUAAAAAAAAAAGAUAAAAGAAUAUGUAUUCACAAAAAUAGUAUUGUCUAGGAUACAUUUCUUUUCUAAAGUGAUUAUCUUAAUAACAAGCCUAAGUAUUAACAAUGGAACAAAACACCUUCCUUUAACUCUUACUUUGCCAGUAGAAUUGCAGAGCUCUGCAAUUUUCCUUAGAAAUAAAGAGUUAAGAAAUCUUAUUUAGGAGAAAACGUUUUCAUGUUUGGGAGGAUUAAAAGGGUACUGACAUCAUUCAAGUCAUGAGCCAUAAUUCUUAUUAGAUUUUAUUGCUACAUUCUUUACACAGCUUUGGAAAGUUAUUCCUAAGAGCACAAAAUAUGCACUUAGACUGCACACAGAGAAGGAAAAUGCUCUCACAAUGAAAUUAUUUUAGCCUGACCCAAUAAUAUCUUGAAAGACUCAAGACUUAUUCUCUGUGUAACAUAUCUUUUCAAAAUAAGAGAUGAGUUUAUGUGAAAUUUGUAUUUUUCAGUAUCUUUGAUCAUUUCCCAUCUUAACAGUUAAAUUUGUCUAUAAAAGAUCUAAUUUCUGUAUACUAAAAAAAUGAUUUUUCUUUCCUCUCUGAUAUAAGAAUCGCAUGGCAGAAGGGUAAAGAAAAAAAUACAAAUUAAAAAUUAUAAUUGAACUUGGCCUUUAAUGACAAUGAAUGAAAUACACAAAUUAGUUCUUGUAUAGCAGAAUGGAGUAUCUGAAGUGUCAGUAUGCCUGUUAAUCAGUAACUUCUGGUAGCGUGUUAAAAAUUUAUCUUCAGUUUCAUUCAUAAUGAAUUCAUUUUUAUUAUUUCUGGACCACACCAAUUUCCCAUGAUGUGAUGGAAAAAAUUGUAACAUUCAAAAACUGAAUUAGAUCACACACAAAACGACAACUUACUCAGAUUAUAAUAAUAAGAUUUGGCUUAUUCAUUGACAAGUGAGAGCCCAGCUAUGUCCAGAAUCUGCAAAGACAGUGCUGGAGAACAGCAAGAUGUUUCAGAGACUUCAAACACCCUGAAAGAAGUACAUUUACUUAGAUGAGGAUGAAAAGGCUCUCUAAAUACCAGGUUUCUUUGCUUUUAUUAGAAUUAAAUCAAUUCAGCAUUGAUGGAAUUGCAGAUCAGGGAAUCCCAACUGGCAAUCUUAAAUGCCUUUGAUAAUAAAAAAAUUAUUAACCAAUAUAAGCAAUUUGAUAUGCAAAAUCUUUCAAAACAUGGGCUCAUUGGAGGAAACAGUAAGAAGUGAUGCUAGGAAUUUAGCAUCUUCCUUGGCGGUAGGAGAGCUAGAACUCUCUGAUAGCAACAACUAAUAGCUAUUCCUACAUGAAACACUCUAUACAUAUUGUCUAAUUUAGUCCUCGCACAAACCUGAUGAGGGAGGUAUUAUUAACCAUCUCAUUUUGUGAGCAAAGAAACUAAAGUUCAGAAAAACAUAAAUGGAAAGAAAAGAAAUACCUGAACCUGCAUGACUGUACAUCUGAGACAAAAGAGUAUGGAGAAUGAACAGGGAACUACAGGUCAGGAAACUGGAUUUGGAAUAUUUGACUCCCUUAUUUAUGCCUCUCUGGGUCUAAAUUUCCUCAUUGUUAAAACAAACUGAGUAUCCACUUUUCCUGUUUACUGCCCACGGCUUGGAAAACACUUGCCAAUGAUAAAGAACUGAAAAAUGUAGGACAUUGUUAUUAUGCUUGGGGUGAACUGGCAAGCUUUGGGGAUGGCCUGGUCUCUUGCUAUUUCCCCCACCAUAAACUACAUCCUUAGCUGUGGAAACUGCAAGAGAAAGGAUGCUGCUGGAAAUACUAAUUUGCCCCUAUCAUUAGCCCCUCCCAAAACUUUGGCCUUCUGUCUUUGAUCAUUCUCCCUCCCAGGCCCAGCCAUGUUCCUUGUCCCACUCUGGUGAUCCCAAGGCCACACAUCUUUAAAGCAAGCAAACAGCCUCUCUUGAAGGGCUGUGCCAGGCAAGUUCACAUGGUCUUUCCUUCCUUUUAAAUUAAUUAAUUAAUUUAUUUAUUAACAUUUAUUUUUGAGAGAGAGAGGCAGACCGCGAGUGGGGCAGGGGCAGAGAGAGAGGGAAACAAAGAAUCCAAAGCUGGCUCCAGGCCCUGAGCUGUCAGCACAGAGCCCAGUGCUGGGCUGGAACUUGUAGACUGUGAGAUCAUGACCUGAGCCCAUGUCGGACACUUAACUGACUAAGCCACCCAGGCAUCCCAUAGGCUUUCCUUCUUUUGACAAGGGAGCAGAUUUCCUCCUUUUUGCUUUCAAGGGAUGUCAGGAUUUUCAAUAAAUGUAUAACUGAAAAACACCAGUGCCUAAAAGCCUAUGCAGAAGUAGAGCUUGGCUGCAACAUGGUACAAUGUACCCCCGCUCAGGAACCGGUAAUUGCUAACAGAUCCAAUCCUGACAGACACUUUACAAGCUCUAUCAUAGACUCUUAAUAUUUUAGAUCUGGAAUGGAAAACAGCGACCACUUAUUCCAAUUCUAUUAUUUAUUGAGCACUGAUUGCAUGCUGGGCCUUUCACAUGCACUGUCCCAUUUAAUCUUUCUAACAAUCUUGUAUUAUUAAUGGUACCAUUUUGCAGAUGAGAAACUGAAGCUCUUAGAGGUUUAAUAAGGGCCUUGAACUGGAUCUGUUCGGCUCCAAAGCCCAUCAUUUUAACCACCCAAUUUUAAGGCCCAGAGGCGUUCAGUGGCCCCAGGUCACACAACUGGUUAGUGGUAAGCCUGAAACUAGACUUCAGUUUUCUUUGUACCAUAUGACACUUGUUACUACUUGAACCGUCUAUAUUCCUAGAAAAGUGUCAAACUAUUCAGUUUCUCAUACAAACCCAAUGGCUGACUCGAAAUCAAAGCUGCUAAGUUAUAAUUCACCACUAGAGUGGGCAUCAAGAAAGAAAGUUUCAUAUGAAUUCUGCAUCUAUUUAUACUUUAACCCCAGUGGGUAAGUUGUAAAAGCAUGCCUUUAUAUUCCUGAGGACAUGACAAACCAUCAAAUUCACACAUCAUUAUGAAACAGAUGCUUUUCCUAAUUUCUGUUGCUAACCUAAAAGGCAUGGCAAAACUAAUCAUUAAUAAAGAUGGUCCCUAACUUACAAUGGUUCAACUUAACUAUCUGUCAACCUUAGGUGGGAUGUAAAAGUGAUACACAUUCAGUAAAAAACAUACUUUGCAUUUUGAAUUUUGAGGUUUUCUCAGGUUAAGGAUACAUGGUACGAUACCCUCCCGUGAUGGUAGGCAGUAGCAUACGAUAAAUGAGGAUAAACAACCUAAAUACUUAACAACCAUUCUGUACCCAUUCAACCAUUCUAUUUCUCACUUCAGUACAGUAUCUAAUAAAUUAUAAGAUAUGUUCAACACUUCGUUAUAAAAUAGGCCUUGUGUUAGAGGACUGUGCCCAAUUGUAGAGCUAAAUUUAAGUGUUCUGAGCACAUUUAAAGUAGGCUAGGCUGAGCUACGAUUUUCUGUAGGUUCUAUGUAUUAAGUGCCUUUUUGACUUAUAGCAGUUUCAGCAGACAGUGAGUUUAUUGGGAUAUAACCCCAUCAUAAGUCAAAAAAGAUCCAUCUGUAGCACAGCAGGGAUCAUGUUGGGGUUUUGUAAGACCAGGCUUGAAUUUGCACUCAUAAACAGGUAAAUGUUACCAAUUCAUUACUCAUCUUCCAAUUUCCAUGUCACUUGUUAACUCUGUCUUCUGUAAAAUUUCACCUGAAGGACCCAUUAAGGCUAUUACAAUAUGUAAAAAAUAGAUAACCUUUCCAUUUGACAAAUGGCUUUUAAUUUUCUGUCUUAGUGGUCACCCACAGCAGUGGCUGCUGUGGAUAACUUCCUUCAUCUCACAAAUGACUACCUACCAAAAUUAAAGUAGCACGUAAUGAAAUCUGAUCUAAUAAAAAGUGUGGUUAAUUGCUAUGCCAAAUUAUAACAUUAAUUACUUGAUGCAAAUAGAAGUACAAAGGGAUAUUUCCUGAGUGGCUUUAGCUCAGCUUUUGUUUUGCCCUCCCAUACUUGUUGCUCACCAUCUUGCUUCUCAUUUUCUUUCCUUCCUUCUAUCUUCCCCCUCAUCUCUGCAAAACUCAGAGCUGUGUUUGGUUGUGGGAAAGGGGGAAGGUGAAGGGCAAAAUAAUUUCAAUUGGGGUUAAAACAUAUCACCAGUAAUUCAUAGAUUAUUCUUUCUCCUAAGGCUUCAACCAGGAGCUUCAGAAGAACUAAAAGUCAUAUUUCUUUGCCCAAUUAUUGGUUUAAGGAAACCAGGGAUCACCAUGUAUUUUACCAAAAAGGUAACUUACCACCAUUAUCGUUAUUGAUAAAUAUUUGUUGAGCAUAUCAUGUGCUUGCAACAGUGCCAAAUGCUAUAUUUUUUGAAGGCUUCAGGCAAGGAAGACAGGCUAUUCCUUUUUCUAGUGGGGACUCCCCUCUGAAACUUAAUUUUCAGUGCCCCAAUGGUUUGAGAGGGUGCAUAGAAUUAUUCCUUAUUUAAACAUAUAAUUAUACUUCAUUUAGAUUUUAUUAUCUCGCUUUUAUGGAAUUGUAUGGAUUUUAAGUGUUUUGCCCAACUUGCUUUUAGAACAAGCUCUCUUUUCUCACUUUAUAUACAAAACAUCCUAACUGGCUGCAUUUGACUUUAAAUAUCUAUGUUAGAAAGACACAGACUCAUUUGAGAAACUAAGCAUGUGAAAACUAGGAGUAGUAAAUAUUUAUGAAUAUGGUAAUGUUCUCUUUCUUGACCUGGGUGGUGGUUACAUGGGUGUGUCCACUUGGUGAUAAUUCAUCAAGCUGUACACUCAUGAUUUGCACAUUUUUCUAUAAGUGUGUUUACCUCAAUAAAAUAACUUAGACAUACAUAUUUAUGAAGAGUCCUGACAUCCCCUCCCCAAACACAUGCAAGCCCACAAUCAGAAGAACUGAUUUCACAGGAGAGUAUUUAUUUUUCCCUUUCCUGGAGUCCUCAUUUCUUGCCCCAGGGACUUUAACUCUUCAACUUCAAUCCAAGAGAUUGUUUGUAGGGCCUCCUUCUCAUCAGAUAUUCUCCCUUUACACUUUUUUUUUUCUUUUUCUCAAGGAAUUUCUUCUGUUGACUGGGCCUCUGUCUUCUCUAAUAGGUCCCUAUAAUUUCUGUGUUCUUCCUUUUUUGCUCACAGUAUGUUAUCCAGCUGCCCUUGCCAAUGCCCACAAAGCUUCAGUUGUCCUUUCCCAGGUGCUGGCUGGGUGGCUUUCUCAGGCUUGUCUUCAAGAUGAGCUCAUGGGAUUAAAAAUUACUGUGCCUCCUACUUUCUUUCUCUCUUUUUCUCACUAUACCUCUGGAACUUGUAUUUCCAGCAGAUUGAAUCCCAUGUUUCUUUGCAAUGCCAUUGAAAAGUACUACUAUUGGACAUUCUCCCAUUUUCAAUUGUUUCUUUUUUUUUAAUGUUUAUUUAUUUAUUUUUGACAGAGAGAAUGAGACUGAGUGGGGGAGAGGCAAAGAGAGAGAGGGAGAGAGAGAAUUCUAGGCUCAGCAUGGAGCCUGAUGUGACACUUGAUCCCAUGAACUGUGAGAUCAUGACCUGAGCCAAAAUCAAGGGUCAGAUGCUCAACCAACUGAGCCACCCAGCCGCCCUCAAUUUUGUUCCUGUAAGAACCUCCCUGAUAAGAUUCUGUCAAAAUCAAAUGAAAUAAUCUACAUAAAAUACUUAGUUACAUACUAAGUAAAAUACUCAGACAUAUGGUAAUCACUCACUAAAUAGCAGCUUUUGUUAUUGUUAGUAAUAGUAUGAUUAGCUAAGGAUGUUUUUUGUUUGUUAUAACAGUAGGGUCAACUCAAAUUCUUAACCUGUGAAAAUUGUAAUGCCGAGGGGAAAAUAAAAUAGCAGCUACCAUUUAUUACAUGUUCUGUAUCAGGCAUUGUUAGGCACUUUACACAAAUAGUCUUAUUGAAGCCUCUAAUAACAGUAUGAAAUAGAUUUGGGGAUCCCAUUUUAAAAUGAGAAAACUGAGUUUUGUAGGGGUUACACCAUUUUGCCGGGUCACUUCCAAUUAAACUGAACAUGGAGAUGUGUUUCUUCUGAAAAAACCACCUUCUUGCAGGAUGUGCAUCCUGCCAGAUUGUGGCAUGACACUCGGCCCCUCAAUAAGAAGCCAUUGGGUUCCAACUACAGAAGAAAUCUCAAACCUGACCCUUGCCUCUAAGGAGCAGACAAUGGGUAAGUCAACCUUGUCCCAACUUUGUCCAGCGUUUCAUCUUUGAGACCUAACGAUUUGCAGGCUUCAAGGACCUAAUCAUCUUCUACUCUUUUGUGUUUGUUGCCUUUAGCAUCUCCUCCAUCAUCCCAAAUGAAGAAUCAUCUUGGAAAAUUGUGACAAAUUUAUAGACUAAAGUUUCUUCUCCGUUGUAAGAAUCUUGAGACGUCUGGAAUUCUAGACACUGUCUCCUAAAAAUUUCCAGGAUAAACUUCCCUCCUUCUUUUACUAUAGGUGCACUCUACAAAAGAAGGUAGGUUUGAAAUGAUUCAGACACUAAGACUACAACCCCACUGAGU
rnacentral:lncRNA from 1 species